GCCUGGGUGGCUCAGUGGGUUAAGCAUCUGACUUCGGCUCAGGUCAUGAUCUCGAGGUCUGUGAGUUUGAGCCCCACAUCGGGCU
rnacentral:tRNA from 1 species